GCUCGCUUCGGCAGCACAUAUACUAAAAUUGGAACGAUACAGAGAAGAUUAGCAUGGCCCCUGCGCAAAAUAUACAAUUUCAGUCUAGGGUUGCCAGCUCCGCAU